UACGUAGGGUGCAGGCGUUAAUCGGAAUUACUGGGCGUAAAGCGUGCGCAGGCGGUCUUUUAAGUCAGAUGUGAAAUCCCCCGGCUUAACCUGGGAACUGCGUCUGAUACUGGAAGGCUUGAGUAUGGGAGAGGGAUGUAGAAUUCCAGGUGUAGCGGUGAAAUGCGUAGAUAUCUGGAGGAAUACCGGUGGCGAAGGCGGCAUCCUGGACCAUUACUGACGCUGAGGCGCGAAAGCUAGGGGAGCAAACGGG
rnacentral:rRNA from 1 species